rnacentral:rRNA from 1 species
GACGAACGCUGGCGGCGUGCUCAACACAUGCAAGUCGAACGAUGAAGUUCCUUCGGGAAUGGAUUAGUGGCGAACGGGUGAGGAACACGUGAGAAACCUGCCCAUCAUUCUGGGAUAACACCGGGAAACCGGUGCUAAUACCGGAUACUCCAUCGCGGCGGCAUCGCUGCGCUGGGAAAGAAUUUCGAUGAUGGAUGGUCUGGCGGCCUAUCAGCUUGUUGGUGAGGUAAUGGCUCACCAAGGCGACGACGGGUAGCCGGCCUGAGAGGGCGACCGGCCACACUGGGACUGAGACACGGCCCAGACUCCUACGGGAGGCAGCAGUGGGGAAUAUUGGGCAAUGGACGCAAGUCUGACCCAGCGACGCCGCGUGAGGGAUGAAGGCCUUCGGGUUGUAAACCUCUUUCAGUGGGGAAGAAGCGAAAGUGACGGUACCCAAAGAAGAAGCACCGGCUAACUAUGUGCCAGCAGCCGCCGUAA